GGCAAAAUGGUAAUGACAGGAAGAAGAUGGAUAUUCUCCAGGGACAUAUACAAACAUUCCAGGAUUUUGUAAGGGGUUAUGUAGCAUAUAUUUUGUCAUAAUUCAUUUACCUGUCUACUUAAUAUGUACAUAUUUGCAUGAAAAAGUGCAUCUUUGGAAAGAAAGAAAAUACUAGCGUUGCAUUUUAUAUUUAUUCAGUAAGGAAUAAGACAGUAAGUAGAAGAGGACUAUAGUACAAUCUGGAACAACAUAGCUUGUUUACUAUAACCCUUUCUGAAUUCAGUGAUAGCAUGUAGGGUAUAUUGUAAAGUCAAAAUAUUUCAAGACUAAAAUUAUUUUGACUUUUUCAUGUUUAAAUGGAGAAUGUAAAAAUACUUUGCUUCAUUUUAUACAUAAUUAAAGGCUUAAAGGCAACACCACUCUGUAAGGCCACAUCUGAAGCUGCAUCAAUAAUAUACCAAUGACAAUGUCAAGUGCAAGAUUUUUAAAAUACUUUGAAUGAUUUAUAUGACUGUGAUAGGAUUCAAACACUCAGGUUCUUUGAGACCAGAGAAAGCUCCUGAUCUUCAUUUGUUAAAAAAUCACGUUGGCCCAAGAGAUAGCUCAGUCCCUAAAAGAAUUUACUGCACAAAUGAUGAUCUGAAUUAGAUCCCACUACCCAUGGCAGUAGGAGAGGACUCAUUUAUGGCAGUUGACCUCUGACUUCACUCUUACAUCACACAUAUGCACGCACACACACACGCAGGCACGCACAUCUCCUAACAACAAUAAUGAUACAUCAAAAGUACACAUGUUUCUUUACAGCAAGAAAAAAGAAAUAUGAAAAGGUAACAUUUAUUAGGUAGUUUGUGAUACUAAUGAUAUAAAAUAUGCUGAUGUUUCUUAAUAUUUUUUUUUCUGUCAAACAAAUCUUUACCACAGAUCUCCAAUCUAGAGGGAGUUUUGGUUAAAGCAAAUCUGUACUAGAAAAGAGUAUACCAAUUAAUGAUUCAGUGACAAAUGAUCAGCUCUGGAAGCAUAUAAGCAAUGGCAUUCUACUGAUUGUUAUAUGCAAAUUAUGACAAUUAGUGAAAAAUUGCUGGCCGUGAAUUUGAAGGAGAGUGGGAAGGGCUACGGGAAGGUUUGGGGGUAGGAAAGAGAGCAGAGAAAGGAUGUAAUUAUAUUAAUCUCAAAAACUAAAAAACAAUUUAAAAGAGCUGAAAACUCACUAAAUACUUGCCUUAAUAAAGAAGAAUAGUUCAGCUCUGAAAAGUAUUCACUUUUAUCUCUAAGUGAUCUCCACUGAGAUUAGUGUUCUAUAGAAAAAAUAUGAUAUAAUAAAAUCUGAAGCAUGAGGCAUAUGAGCCAACAAUGCCCAUUCUGAUGAAGAAAAUUUACUAGAUGUGUCAGAGUGCUGCAUCGACAAUAGAGAGGACAAGCUAUUAAAAUGCUUGAAGAACACAGCUAGCAAGACUCAGCAACUAUCUGAGGCAGAAACUUCUCCUAACGGGGCACCACUUAAUCAAUCAAACUUGGCUUUUUAUGUGAUAUAGGCAGACAGGUAACUAAAAAUAGUAAUAGAAUUGUCAGUGGCUUCCAGAAGGUUAAAUUUUGUUAGAAAAGUUGAGUAAGAAUAAUAAAAUAAUAGUAAAUGAAAUACAAGUCAACUAAUGUUCCUCUCAUGAGUGGUCUCUUUUAUAUACACAUGGUGUUGGUAUAAUAUAUUUGCAAUAUGAUUUAGCUGUUAGAAAAUUGCAUAACAAUGUUAAAAGGAAAAAGGUAAUCCUAGAAGAAAAUGCAAUUCUUAUAGAGGUUUUGUGGCAGUUGGUCCCCAGUCAAAGGAGAACUGAGUUGACUCUGAAAAUGUGAAAGGUAUUAAUUACAUAAUGUGCCUAAGUUCUAACUAGCAAGCAAAUCCAUAAAGACUGAUAUUUUCAGGGCUGGGAAGAUAACUCAUUGUUUAAGAGCAUGUUCUGAUUUUGCAGAGGACCCCAGUUCUGUUUCCAGCACAGAUGUCAGUUAAACAAAUCCUCCUGUUACUCAUCCAAGGGAUCUAGUAGCCUCUGGCCUUUGCAGGCACCAGAACACCUGAGCACAUAGACACACAUAUAUCCCUAAUUAAAAAUAAAAUACAUAAUUGAAAUGAUUAAUAUUUCCAAACCCUCUUUCCUUCAGUAGUAUUUUCCAUGUAUUGUUAUAAACAUGGACUUUUUCUUAGGUUUCUAGUUUCUUUAUAUUAGCCAUGUAAAUUGUGUUAUAGAGCAUGCUGCUCUGAUAGAGAACAGGAACAUACCACACAGAGCAGUAGAACUAUUUAUAAUAAACCUAUGAUGUCAUGGGCAAAUCAGGUUGGAGGUCAACAGAACCCAAACCCUUGUAGACAUUAUAAACAUCCCAGGGCAUUCAACUAAUCAGCUCUUUGAAAACAUUUGGAUGUGUAUCUUGUUUCAAGCCGUUUUAUUUUCGAUUCUACUCACUUAUUCAAAAACCCCCAAAUCAAAAAUUGCUACACUGAGCCAUUGAAGACCCUAUAAAAAAAGAAAAUGUACUUCAUUUGCCCAAAGUUAAAUUUGUUCUUCUUCAUUCCCUCAAACACAACAGAAUCUAAUUCAAAAAAAUGGGAUUUACCCAUCAUGAUAUGUAACUUCUUCAGGCCUAUAAUUAUAUUGCUUCAUUUCUCCAGAAUUUUGUUCACUCCCAUUUCUAAUUUUAUUAACACAGAAUUAAUUUUUAUUAUACUAAUAUUAUGUAAUAAUUAAUAUGAUUUUUAACAUAGAAUUAAAAAGAUAAGCUUUUUAUCUAUUUAAUUUGUUUAAUUUUCUUAUGUCCUGCUGUUUCUGACAUGAACAAACCAGAAUGAAUAUGCUUACUCACUUGAACUUCAUUUCCAGCUUUCAUAUUAUUUUAUAUGUUUUGUUUUCCAAAUGUAUAUGAAAUGAGUUGACUUUCAGUCAAUGUUACAACCUUUUUGACAACUUUGGAUUUCAUAUCAUGUAUUAUCAGUUACAUGGCUACAUUUAAUUGUAAUUUGUUACAUGUGAGGAAACUUAAAUUGUGAGCCAUCUUAUUGUUUUUAUUUUCUGAAGAAGUAGAGAAGUGUUUUUGAUGCUGGCAUCAAGGAGCUAAUUAGAACAAUUAAGAGGUGUUGCUCUCCAUUGACAGUGAGGUAGUUUCCCAGUAUGAUGCAGCAGAUAAAUAUCAAGGAAUGCAGCCAAAAAGGAUCAUCUUAAUCUUAACUUCAGUGUCAUCAUUGCUAAGUGAUGAGUCAUAACCAUUGGGAGAAAACUACUCAGCAUUUGGAGCAUGUAAAUCGGCACUGAUGUAGACAGCCCACUGAUGUAGUCCUCUUUGUUUCUAUUCAAAAUUUUCUAUUACCUUAAAUUCUUCUAUAACCUCUAUUGAUGUUUAAUGUGUGUGCAUUUCCUUAAGGACAAAGGUAUAGAAUCUUAUUAAAUUUUUGUUACUUUGAUUCAAUUAUAGGUACUGUUGUCUACUCCUUUCUUAUUUAAAAACGAAUGGUGACUAUGAAUCUUUAUUUGUAAUAAUUAUGUUUACUUUUUACAUGUGGUGUGUGUGUGUGUGUGUGUGUGUGUGUGUGUGUGUGUGUGUGUGUGUGUAUGUUUAUCAGUAUGUGCACAUGUACGCAGAUGCCUGAGGAGGCCAGAAGAGAGAGCUGGAGCCCUGAAACUGGAAUUACAGGUAGCCACCUGGUGUCAGUUCUGGAAACUGAACUCUGGUCCUCGGAAACAGAAACAAGCAGUCUUAACUGUUGAGCCAUCUCACUAGCCAUGACUUCAUGAAUCUUGUAAUCUACUGCAGGUGAUAUUUCAUAUGAACACAUCCAAAUUAAAAAAUUAACUAAUGCAUACAGGGUCUGAUCCAGCUGAUAGUUGAGCCCUCUCUCCUCCAGGCAUGACCUCAUGGAUUUUAUAAUCUAGUGCAGGUGAUAUUUCAUAUGAACAAAUCAAAAUUUAAAAAUAACGAAUACAUGCAGGGGUUUGCUUUAGAGUAGCUAAAAAAAAUAAAUGUUAGCUGUUGCUUUUCUAUAUUCAGAAGCCAGUGGGACAGAGAAACUUGACUAAAAAUAUCAUAAGCAUUAGCUGGAAAGUAUAACCUUUUUCUCCAAUGCAUUAUGCUAGAAAGGCGCCUGAUAUGAGGGCAAAUAUCGAUGCAAUGGAGUAUUUCUGUUUUUUUCCUAUGCAAACAAUAUACUUGAGCUUUGUUUGGAAUAAUCAAUAGCAAGCAAAUUGCUUGACAUGAGAAAGUAAUGGAAAUGUGGAAGUGGAGGACUUUUCUGUAGAAAGGUGAGAAGGGUCUUGGCAGCAUGAAUCUCCCCCAAAAUAAUCAUUCCUCACACUGGAAAUGAUGCAGGAAAACUAGGAUAAUCUAUCUCUUGCAGGUAAGCAGACCAUAAACUUUUAAAAUUGUUUUACUCACUGCCACAUGAUGGGGAAAGAUUAAAAAUAUGAAACCUUUCAUAUUAAUUACAAUUUUGGAAAAUUCUCAUGAGAGUACUCCAUUUUUGUGGUCACAGGCCUCUGGGGAAAUGAUGCAAUUUAAGAUUUAGUACGUUAGGAUGCAGUACAGAAAAAAAGACUGUAGAGGUCACAUGAAAUAGAGAAGAGCAAGGAUCAAUAAUUUAGUAGGGACAGAAAACUGUAAUAGAAGAAGAGAUUUUAUCAGAAUAUAUGUGAUUUAUACCACAGUUUUCAAACAAAUACUUAGCAGAAAACUCCAGAGUUGAUGGAAAGACAAAAGGGUAGAUCAGUGAUUAAGAAAUAAGUGCUUUAGGGAAUGGGGCUCUAUCACAUCUUCUUAUGGAGUAGAGGAUAACCAAGAAGUCUUUGUGAAACAUGAGAGAUGAAAACAAAUAUUUGGGCUAGAAUAUGACAUGACUUCCAAGAGACUCACACAGAGCUCGAUGUAAAUACACAUAGGGAAGAAACAAUCUGAACUAUGUAUUCAUGGAAUAUGUGCUCACUGAUUGCUUCCUAAGGGUGCUGAUGUAAGCAGCAUUUAGUGGAAAUAUUCCCACAUAUCCUACUUCUAAUCUAUGUUUAGAACUCAUAUUUUUCUCGUGGCCUUCAUGUCAAUCACUAGAACUUGAACAACUCAAAUGUGUGUAAAGUACUUCCUUUCUUAUGUGCACAUGGAUAACAGAGUAAUUUACUCCUAAUCAACAGGUUCAGAUAUCAAAAUUUAAUAUUGUAAUCCAUGAAUUGUGUGUGUAUUUCAUUGCAUAUUCCUGGUUCUCCAUUUUGGAUAUUAUAUGUGUAAAAGUGUGUAUAUGCUUGCCUACGCAGGAGUGUAUAGAGGCCAGAGGAGGAUGUUAGGAUGUCUUUCUCAAUUGCUUCUCAUUUUAUUUGUUUGAGACAUGGUCUCUUACUAAACUAGAGUUUGGUAUUUUGGCUAGACUUGCUGGUCAAUGAGCUCUGGGAUCCCCUCGUCUACCCUGACCUCCCAGGGCCGGCAUCACAACAAUGUACAGCCACAUCCAACCUUUCAUAGGCAGGAAACCCAAGAGCAAUCUGGUGGUUGGUUUGGUGUCUGCUGGGGCUUCUGUCUUUGUCUUGCAGGCGGUUUGAAACACAUUCUGACAUUUCCAGAAGCAAAAAAACAACUUCUCUCCAAAGCUGUAUCAGACACUAUACUAACGGAAACACCGUGGUUCUUCAAGUGACAGUUGAGGGGCAUCUAGGUUGUUUCCAAGUUCUGGCUAUUAUGGAUAACACUGCUAUGAACAUAGUUAAGAAAAUGUCCUUGUGAAAUAGAUGGAACUAGAAAAAAAAAAUCCCGAGUGAGGUAACCCAGACCCAGAAAGACAAACACGAACCUUCAUCCAGUAACUGAUGGAAGCAGAUGCAGAGAGCCACAGCCAAGCACUAGGCAGAGCUCCCAGAGUCCAGUCAAAGAGUGAGAAGAAAUGAGCAAAGAUCAUGAUGGAGAAACCCACGGAGACAGCCGACCAGAGGUAGUGGGAGUUCAUGGACUGUGGACUGACCACUGGGAACCUGCAUGGGACCGAACUGGGUCCUCUGAAUGUGGGUGACAGUUGUUUGCCUUGAACAGUUUGUGGGGCCACUGACAGUGGGACCAGGAUUUAUCCCUAGUGUAUGUACUGGCUUUUUGGAGUAUCCCUUCCUAUGGUGGGAUACUUUGCUCAGCCUUGAUACAGGGGAGAGUGGCUUGGUGCUGCCUCAACUUGAUAUGCCAGACUUUGUGGACUCCCCAUG